GACGAACGCUGGCGGCGUGCUUAACACAUGCAAGUCGAGCGGAAAGGCCACUUCGGUGGUACUCGAGCGGCGAACGGGUGAGUAACACGUGAGUAAUCUGCCCCUGGCUUUGGGAUAGCCACCGGAAACGGUGAUUAAUACCGGAUACGACCACUUCUCGCAUGGGAUGGUGGUGGAAAGUUUUUUCGGCCAGGGAUGUGCUCGCGGCCUAUCAGCUUGAUGGUGAGGUAAUGGCUCACCAUGGCUUCGACGGGUAGCCGGCCUGAGAGGGUGACCGGUCACACUGGGGCUGAGACACGGCCCAGACUCCUACGGGAGGCAGCAGUGGGGAAUAUUGGACAACGGGCGGAAGCCUGAUCCAGCAACGCCGCGUGAGGGAUGACGGCCUUCGGGUUGUAAACCUCUUUCAGCAGGGACGAAGCGCAAGUGACGGUACCUGCAGAAGAAGCACCGGCCAACUACGUGCCAGCAGCCGCGGUAA
rnacentral:rRNA from 1 species